rnacentral:tRNA from 1 species
GGGGGUUUAGUCUAGGGGUAUAAUAUUUGCUUCGCAAUUAAGUGACUGCGAAAGGUUCUGGGUUCAAUUCCCAGAACGUCUA